rnacentral:lncRNA from 1 species
UUAAUCUCCUCUUCCAAACUUGUAAUUCUUCAAAUGCCUAACAGAUUAUCUUUUAUCUCUAAAAAGAAAGUCUAGCACCAAACAUGAUCUAAGAUGUACAUCAUACGUGUUAUUCUAGUUAAAGUCUUUGAUUUAAUAAAAAACAUCUUGCAAUAUAAAAAAUUAUUAUCGAAAGAUAAAGCACAUGAUGUCGAUGCGCCAAAUUAUUAAAAGUUAAAAGUUG